rnacentral:rRNA from 1 species
CCUACGGGUGACAGCAGUGGGGAAUAUUGCACAAUGGGGGAAACCCUGAUGCAGCGACGCCGCGUGAGUGAAGAAGUAAUUCGUUAUGUAAAGCUCUAUCAGCAGGGAAGAAAAUGACGGUACCUGAGUAAGAAGCCCCGGCUAACUACGUGCCAGCAGCCGCGGUAAUACGUCGGGGGCAAGCGUUCUCCGGAUUUACUGGGUGGAAAGGGAGCGUAGACGGCAGUGCAAGUCUGGAGUGAAAGGCGGGGGCUCAACCCCCGGACUGCUCUGGAAACUGUACGGCUGGAGUGCAGGAGAGGUAAGUGGAAUUCCUAGUGUAGCGGUGAAAUGCGUAGAUAUUAGGAGGAACACCAGUGGCGAAGGCGGCUUACUGGACUGUAACUGACGUUGAGGCUCGAAAGCGUGGGGAGCAAACAGGAUUAGAUACCCCAGUAGUC